rnacentral:rRNA from 1 species
ACGCACGCUGGCGGCGUGCUUAACCCCUGCCAGUCGCACGGAAAGGCCCUGCUUGCAGGGUACUCGAGUGGCGAACGGGUGAGUAACACGUGGGUGAUCUGCCCUGCACUUCGGGAUAAGCCUGGGAAACUGGGUCUAAUACCGGAUAGGAGCCAUUUUUAGUGUGAUGGUUGGAAAGUUUUUUCGGUGUAGGAUGAGCUCGCGGCCUAUCAGCUUGUUGGUGGGGUAAUGGCCUACCAAGGCGGCGACGGGUAGCCGGCCUGAGAGGGUGGACGGCCACAUUGGGACUGAGAGACGGCCCAGACUCCUACGGGAGGCAGCAGUGGGGAAGAUUGCACAAUGGGCGCAAGCCUGAUGCAGCGACGCCGCGUGGGGGAUGACGGCCUUCGGGUUGUAAACUCCUUUCGCUAGGGACGAAGCUUUUUGUGACGGUACCUAGAGAAGAAGCACCGGCUAACUACGUG